rnacentral:lncRNA from 1 species
AACAGGGUGGAGUCGCAGCACUCGUCCCUCAAAACAUGGUACAACUCUUCCAAUCAGGGACUUGAUACACUAUUUGAGGGGUAUCAUGCAUCGAUUGAGGGUCAAGUCAUCGAAGUGCAGCGGGCUAUCGAUGAAUCACGAAGCAAGGUAUCGUACUGUUUAUAUAAGUACUUAGUGAAUCACUAGUUAUUUCUUAAAUGUUUAACUUAACUAGCUUUUUCGUUCCGUGUAGACUCAUCGUUUCUCGCAUAGACGACCAUUUACGUAUCUGAAAAAUGAAGUCAGCCUCUGGGUAUUGAGUUGGUGAACGAGUCGUUAUCCAGUAACGACGACUGUGAUUGUGUGAUCGAAACCACGCACGGCCUUCCUUGCACUUGUAGGCUCGAAUCUAUGGAGCGCGAUGGGGUCGAGCUGAAAC